UACGUAGGUGGCGAGCGUUGUCCGGAUUUACUGGGCGUAAAGGGAGCGUAGGCGGACUUUUAAGUGAGAUGUGAAAUAACCCGGGCCUCAACUUGGGUGCUGCAUUUCAAACUGGAAGUCUAGAGUGCAGGAGAGGAGAAUGGAACUCCUAGUGUAGCGGUGAAAUGCGUAGAGAUUAGGAAGAACACCAGUAGCGAAGGCGGCUCUCUGGACUGUAACUGACGCUGAGGCACGAAAGCGUGGGGAGCAAACAGGAUUAGAUACCCU
rnacentral:rRNA from 1 species